rnacentral:rRNA from 1 species
UACGAAGGGUGCAAGCGUUACUCGGAAUUACUGGGCGUAAAGCGUGCGUAGGCGGUUUGUUAAGUCCGUUGUGAAAGCCCUGGGCUCAACCUGGGAAUUGCAGUGGAUACUGGCGAGCUAGAGUGCGGUAGAGGAUGGUGGAAUUCCCGGUGUAGCGGUGCAAUGCGUAGAGAUCGGGAGGAACACCCGUGGCGAAGGCGGCCAUCUGGACCAGCACUGACGCUGAGGCACGAAAGCGUGGGGAGCAAACAGG